rnacentral:tRNA from 1 species
AUUUAUGUAGUUUAAAUAAAACAUUACAUUUUCACUGUAAAAAUAUUAUUUUAUAAUCAUAAAUU